CAUGGGGCCAAGGCAACUAUCUGAUACCUACUGUUGUAUUAUCAAAGGACAACCAUGGUUGUACAGGCAUGACUCAUUUGUCAGCACAAUAUAUGUUUGAGAGAGUCGGCAAUUAAAGGACUGCAGGAUUGUGAGCGGAAGUGAAGUUUCUUCCUGUUUCAGGAGAGAUGCCUGAGGUAGUGAUUCCUGUUCUUCGCUGUCUCCAGAAUGUAGGAGAAGAUCAGUGUUGCAGGCAAUGAAAGUUGCCAGAUGAAG